ACCAGAUUCCUACGGGAGGCAGCAGUGAGGAAUAUUGGUCAAUGGGCGCGAGCCUGAACCAGCCAAGUCGCGUGAGGGAUGACGGCCCUACGGGUUGUAAACCUCUUUUGUCGGGGAGCAAAUUCCGUUACGUGUAACGGAGUCGAGAGUACCCGAAGAAAAAGCAUCGGCUAACUCCGUGCCAGCAGCCGCGGUAAUACGGGGGGUGCAAGCGUUGUCCGGAAUCAUUGGGCGUAAAGCGUUCGUAGGCGGUGUGUCAAGUCUGAUGUUAAAGCCCGGGGCUCAACUCCGGUUCGGCAUUGGAUACUGGCAAACUAGAAUGUGGUAGAGGUAAAGGGAAUUCCUGGUGUAGCGGUAAAAUGCGUAGAUAUCAGGAGGAACAUCGGUGGCGAAAGCGCUUUACUGGACCAUUAUUGACGCUGAGGAACGAAAGCCAGGGGAGCAAAUGGGAUUAGAUACCCCGGUAUC
rnacentral:rRNA from 1 species